rnacentral:lncRNA from 1 species
AGCAUUGCAAUUGAAUAGUGCAUUUGCAAUGCACUUCUCGGCUUCCGGCUACUUGCUUACCUCAGUAACUUACUAAAAACCUUUCAACAGUCCUUCAAAAGUCACAGACCAAUUCCAAUAACUGUUCCAACCCUCGCACCUGCCAAUAGGCCNUCAAGUUUCAGGAGAAAAUGAGCUAAAAUGGAGAAGAUACGCGAUUUUUAGUUUUCACUUAAGUGAAUAGUAACUCUGGUUUUCCGGAGAAGCCGUGGAGUAGAGUUGGCUUCUGGC